rnacentral:lncRNA from 1 species
ACUACCUGCAGCAUCCUAUGAAUCUUCUCAAUACCCAUCAAUAUAAGAUCAAUGCAAUAUGCAGCAUAUGAGGUCCAGUAUAUCUGCGGUUGCUGCUCCAUUAGUAACUCUCCGACAGCCUCAUAUUUUGGCCCAUUAUCUGUAAUGACUUGCACGACAUACUGCUCACCUACUGAAUCAAUCGCCUCCUCUAUCAGACCAAAGAUAUAUGCGGCAUCAUGCAUCU